UACGUAGGGGGCGAGCGUUAUCCGGAUUUACUGGGCGUAAAGCGAGUUAAGGCGGUUGGCAAAGUUGGUUGUGAAAUCUCAGGGCUCAACCCUGAAAUUGCGACCAAUACUGGUCGACUAGAGUGCAGGAGAGGAAGGUGGAAUUCCCGGUGUAGUAGUGAAAUGCGUAGAGAUCGGGAAGAACAUCAGUGGCGAAGGCGGCCUGCUGGGCUGUUGCUGACGCUGAGGCGCGACAGCGUGGGGAGCAAACAGG
rnacentral:rRNA from 1 species